ensembl:lncRNA
GGCAGCAGGUCUAGUGGUUAGAGUGGAGGGGCAGCAGGUCUAGUGGUUAGAGUGGAGGGGCAGCAGGUCUAGUGGUUAGAGUGGAUGGGCAGCAGGCCUAGUGGUUAGAGUGGAUGGGCAGCAGGCCUAGUGGUUAGAGUGGAGGGGCAGCAGGGUAGCCUAGUGGUUAGAGUGGAGGGGCAGCAGGCCUAGUGGUUAGAGUGGAGGGGCGGCAGGGUAGCCUAGUGGUUAGAGUGGAGGGGCGGCAGGUAGCCUAGUGGUUAGAGUGGAGGGCGGGAGGUCUAGUGGUUAGAGUGGAGGGGCGGCAGGUCUAGUGGUUAGAGUGGAGGGGCAGCAGGUCUAGUGGUUAGAGUGGAUGGGCAGCAGGCCUAGUGGUUAGAGUGGAUGGGCAGCAGGCCUAGUGGUUAGAGUGGAGUGGCAGCAGGUCUAGUGGUUAGAGUGGAGGGGCGGCAGGGUGGCGCAGCAGUUCUAGUGGUUAGAGUGGAGGGGCAGCAGGUCUAGUGGUUAGAGUGGAGGGGCAGCAGGUCUAGUGGUUAGAGUGGAGAAACAGCAGGUCGAGCGGUUAGAGUGGAGGGGCGACAAGUAACCAGCAGGUCAAGUGGUUAGAGUGGAGGGGCAGCAGGUCUAGUGGUUACAGUGGAGGGGCAGCAGGUCUAGUGGUUACAGUGGAGGGGCAGCAGGUCUAGUGGUUAGAGUGGAGGGGCAGCAGGUCUAGUGGUUAGAGUGGAGGGGCAGCAGGUCUAGUGGUUAGGUGGAGGGGCAGCAGGUAGCCUAGUGGUUAGAGUGGAGGGGCAGCAGGUCUAGUGGUUAGAGUGGAGGGGCAGCUGGUCUAGUGGUUAGAGUGGAGGGGCAGCUGGUCUAGUGGUUAGAGUGGAGGGGCAGCUGGUCUAGUGGUUAGAGUGGGGCGACUAGUAACCAGCAGGUCUACUGGUUUGAGUGGAGGGGCAGCAGGUGUAGUGGUUAGAGUGGAGGGGCGACUAGUAACCAGCAGGUCUAGUGGUUAGAGUGGAGAGGCAGCAGGUCUACUGGUUAGAGUGGAGGGGCGACUAGUAACCAGCAGGUCUAGUGGUUAGAGUGGAGGCGCGACAAGUAACCAGCAGGUCUAGUGGUUAGAGUGGAGGGGCAGCAGGUCUAGUGGUUAGAGUGGAGGGGCAGCAGGUCUAGUGGUUAGAGUGGAG